UGGCUCAGAUUGAACGCUGGCGGCAUGCCUUACACAUGCAAGUCGAACGGCAGCGCGGGGCAACCUGGCGGCGAGUGGCGAACGGGUGAGUAAUAUAUCGGAACGUACCCUGGAGUGGGGGAUAACGUAGCGAAAGUUACGCUAAUACCGCAUACGAUCUAAGGAUGAAAGUGGGGGAUCGCAAGACCUCAUGCUCCUGGAGCGGCCGAUAUCUGAUUAGCUAGUUGGUAGGGUAAAAGCCUACCAAGGCAUCGAUCAGUAGCUGGUCUGAGAGGACGACCAGCCACACUGGAACUGAGACACGGUCCAGACUCCUACGGGAGGCAGCAGUGGGGAAUUUUGGACAAUGGGCGCAAGCCUGAUCCAGCAAUGCCGCGUGAGUGAAGAAGGCCUUCGGGUUGUAAAGCUCUUUUGUCAGGGAAGAAACGGGUYUUUCUAAUACAGAGAUCUAAUGACGGUACCUGAAGAAUAAGCACCGGCUAACUACGUGCCAGCAGCCGCGGUAAUACGUAGGGUGCAAGCGUUAAUCGGAAUUACUGGGCGUAAAGCGUGCGCAGGCGGUUUUGUAAGACUGUCGUGAAAUCCCCGGGCUCAACCUGGGAAUGGCGAUGGUGACUGCAAGGCUAGAGUUUGGCAGAGGGGGGUAGAAUUCCACGUGUAGCAGUGAAAUGCGUAGAUAUGUGGAGGAACACCGAUGGCGAAGGCAGCCCCCUGGGUCAAAACUGACG
rnacentral:rRNA from 1 species